rnacentral:ncRNA from 1 species
CCCUGAGCACAGGCUCAGGGCUUCUGUUUCCCGAUUCUGUAACCAGGGGGUCUGCUCGUG